rnacentral:rRNA from 1 species
UGCCAGAGCCGCGGUAAUACGUAGGGACCAAGCGUUGUUCGGAUUUACUGGGCGUAAAGGGCGCGUAGGCGGCGUGACAAGUCACUUGUGAAAUCUCUGAGCUUAACUCAGAACGGCCAAGUGAAACUGUUGUGCUAGAGUGCAGAAGGGGCAAUCGGAAUUCUUGGUGUAGCGGUGAAAUGCGUAGAUAUCAAGAGGAACACCUGAGGUGAAGACGGGUUGCUGGGCUGACACUGACGCUGAGGCGCGAAAGCCAGGGGAGCAAACGGG